rnacentral:lncRNA from 1 species
UGAGGAGGGAUCAUAGGGUCCCUUAUCUCUCCCAAUUAUGAGUGCUACUCGGGAGUCUGUGUUAGAAGGGACUGCUGCUGCUGCUGCUGCUGCUGCUGCUGCUGCUGCUGCUGCUGCUGCUGCUGCUGCUUGAAAAAAUUAAAAACAAAACAAAACCAAAUGUACUUGGGGAAAUCAGCACUGGGAAGCCCCUUCUGAGAAACUCGAGGUCCAAAGGCACUUGGAGAGCCCCAAACUAAAGCCCCGUAGUGGGACCCCUAUUGAAAUUCUCCACUGAGUUCUAAGACAGAAGCCCCUCUUGGAGACGCACAGGCUAAGCACUCCUGGGCAGAAUCCUUCCCUUUCCCUGCUCAGCCGGUACCGCAGCACCCAGCACCACAGCACCCUUCCCACGACCUCCUUCUCUUUCACCUCCUUCACGCAAGAUUCGGGGAGGUGGUGCAAGCAAGAGUGGAAAGAAACAGCAGACAUCCAUUCCCUCCUGGGAGACAGAGGGCGCCUCUGUCCACUCCUGGCCCUAGCCCUUCGGGUGUCGUUUGUGAAGGGGUGGAGCCGUCGGGAGGAGGGUCGGCAGUAAAGACAGGUCUCCCCACACUGCUCCGGGGCAACAUUUGCAGCGCGCCCUUCUGUCAAGAACCUGCUCCGACGUCAGGCCGAGGCCAACCGUGUGCUGCUGAAAUGGGCUCUGAGCUGGAGACCGCCAUGGAGACCCUCAUCAAUGUGUUCCAUGCCCACUCGGGCAAGGAAGGGGACAAAUAUAAGCUGAGCAAGAAGGAGCUGAAAGACCUGCUACAAACUGAACUCUCCAGCUUCCUGGAUGUCCAGAAGGAUGCAGAUGCUGUGGACAAGAUCAUGAAGGAACUGGAUGAGAAUGGAGAUGGGGAAGUGGACUUCCAGGAGUUUGUUGUGCUGGUGGCUGCUCUCACAGUGGCUUGUAACAACUUCUUCUGGGAGAACAGUUGAGCACAGUCUCAGUAGGCAGCGCCCUCCCUCUUUGCUCCUCAUCCCACCUGUAUCUCCCUAUGUACCCAUCCUUGCCCAGGCUCAACAUGCACCAAAGGCGCAACAGUAGCAGUCCAGAUCUGCCACUAGUUUUAAUAAAGCUUCUCUCUCACGAACUGUCAA